rnacentral:tRNA from 1 species
AAGAGAAUAAAGAAAUAAAAGAAGCUGCUAACUAUCUUUAAAGCGGUUAAAGUCCGUUAAUCUCUUG